rnacentral:rRNA from 1 species
GAGUUUGAUCCUGGCUCAGAUUGAACGCUGGCGGCAUGCCUUACACAUGCAAGUCGAACGGCAGCACGGGAGCUUGCUCCUGGUGGCGAGUGGCGAACGGGUGAGUAAUGCAUCGGAACGUAUCCUGGAGUGGGGGAUAACGUAGCGAAAGUUACGCUAAUACCGCAUAUUCUGUGAGCAGGAAAGCGGGGGACCUUCGGGCCUCGCGCUCUUGGAGCGGCCGAUGUCGGAUUAGCUAGUUGGUGAGGUAAAGGCUCACCAAGGCGACGAUCCGUAGCAGGUCUGAGAGGAUGAUCUGCCACACUGGAACUGAGACACGGUCAGACUCCUACGGGAGGCAGCAGUGGGGAAUUUUGGACAAUGGGGGCAACCCUGAUCCAGCCAUGCCGCGUGAGUGAAGAAGGCCUCGGUUGUAAG